UGCAUCUGCAGCCCAUGAGGAUGAGAACCUCCGGGGGCAGGGAGGUUCGACUCGAGCGAAGCGAGAGAACGUUGCGCCAGCAACGGCCCGCAGGGCGAGCCACGAAGUGGCGAGUAAUCCUCUAUCACCUACCA
rnacentral:sRNA from 1 species